GUCCCAAACCAGUGGGACUCUUGACCCCGGCACCCAAAAUGUAUGGGACUCGUGAUCAGAGAAUCUUGAUUCUCGAUCACAGAGUCUCAGACACGUAGGACUCAUAGUCCAUGAGCAUUAGGACUCUUCAUUAGCCAUCAGAUUAGAUAGGAACCUUUAAUGUGUGUGACCCCGCAGGUUCGAACCUGAGCCGGUAGCACAGGAACCAAUUCCUAUACUAAUCGAAGUGACCAUCUAGCAAUGGUAUCCAACGAUCGGAUAGGUUGAAAAGUCACAAUCGCAACACUCAAAACCUACGUGAAUAUGAUUACUGUAUAAUUCAUCCUUUUGACCUCUGUGUUUAGGAUGACUCAGGGUUAAACUGUCAACCCUGAUUAGAUCAUCCGAAUCGUGCUCAACUCAAAUAGUCCUGUGACUCCUCAUAAGGACUACCCUGACCAAGAUUUUGCUAAAUUGAAACACGACUGUACACAGAUCCUAAUCUGGAGUGGUCAAUCCCAUCUUGACACACGCACCGACAAGUCAAGUACUUGACUACACCCAGCAACCUUCCAUCAUUGAAUUAGAAAUUCAGGUAGUCCAGUGUCUAAGUGCAGUGAGUUGCUUGCAAGUCAUCGUGGCAGUCUC
rnacentral:lncRNA from 1 species